rnacentral:lncRNA from 1 species
CCAGCUUAUUCUAUAGCUUUUAGAUAUUUUUUUAGAGAGAGAUUUUGUAAAGAGCCUACUCCAUCAGCUUUUAGUCAUUUUUUUUAAAGAGAGAUUUUGUAGAGAGCUACAGCAACAAACCAGCUAGAGAUUUGAAGCAUUAGGAGGCUAGGGUUUUGAGGAGUUGACCCCGCAGUGCCUUUCAAUCUCUCUAUUGCUGCAGUACAUGC